CGGGAGUAAACUGGCGAAUAAUGAGAGUGGGCAGCUUGAGUGGGAGGAUUACUAUUUUCAUCUUAUUUUUCCAGAGGAAAAGACCAAUUUGUCCCUCUGGCCUAAAGAACCAGAAGACUAUAAAGAAGUAACUAAGGAGUUUGCCAAGGAACUAAGAGUGGUGGUGACCAAGAUGCUGUCCAUGCUCUCUCAAGGUCUCGGCCUCGAAUCCGGCAAGCUUGAGAGAGAGCUCGGGGGAAUGGAAGACCUACUCAUGCAGAUGAAGAUCAACUACUACCCAAAAUGUCCACAACCCGAGCUUGCCCUCGGUGUCGAAGCCCACACCGAUGUCAGCUCCCUCACCUUCCUCCUCACCAACAUGGUACCGGGACUUCAGCUCUACUAUGGUGGCAAAUGGGUCAUCGCCCAGUGCGUCCCCGAUUCGCUUCUCGUCCACAUUGGGGACACCCUUGAGAUCCUCAGCAAUGGGCGCUAUAGGAGCAUUUUGCAUAGGAGUUUGGUGAACAAGGAGAGGGUCCGGAUCUCGUGGGCAGUGUUCGUUGAGCCGCCGAAGGAGACUAUAGUGCUGAAGCCAUUGCCGGAGCUGGUGACGGAGGCGGCGCCGGCGAAGUUCCCGCCGAGGACUUUCAAGCAGCACAUCCAACAUAAGUUGUUCAAGAAGACGCAGGAGGACUUCACUUCUCCCAAGUGAGGAUGCAGCUUAUUCCCUACUGAGACUGCAUGUAGGUAUGAAUAUAAGUAUUUCUGGAUUGUAG
rnacentral:misc_RNA from 1 species